UACGGGGGGGGCAAGCGUUGUUCGGAUUUACUGGGCGUAAAGGGCGCGUAGGCGGUGCGGUAAGUCACUUGUGAAAUCUCUGAGCUUAACUCAGAACGGCCAAGUGAUACUGCAGUACUAGAGUGCAGAAGGGGCAAUCAGAAUUCUUGGUGUAGCGGUGAAAUGCGUAGAUAUCAAGAGGAACACCGGUGGCGAAGGCGGGUCUCUGGGCAACAACUGACGCUGAGGAGCGAAAAGCGUGGGGGAGCGAACAGG
rnacentral:rRNA from 1 species